rnacentral:rRNA from 1 species
CAGCCGCCACGGGAAUACGUAGGUGGCAAGCGUUGUUCGGAAUCACUGGGCGUAAAGCGCACGUAGGCGGAUACUUAAGUCAGGGGUGAAAUCCCGGGGCUCAACCUCGGAACUGCCUUUGAUACUGGGUAUCUUGAGUCCGAGAGAGGUUGGUGGAACUCCGAGUGUAGAGGUGAAAUUCGUAGAUAUCCGGAAGAACACCAGUGGCGAAGGCGGCUAACUGGCCCGGUACUGACGCUGAGGUGCGAAAGCGUGGGGAGCAAACAGGAUUAGAUACCCCAGUAGUCCCUGUCUCUUAUAC